UGCCCCGACCAAGACCCUCCCGGCAGACACUGGGGGCGGGCCGCUGUGCAUUCUGGGGGUUGUGGUUCCCGGCGGCAGCUCCCGGCAGGCAGUGCGGCGGCUGCGCAGGCGCAGCGAGAGCGGUGGCCAGAGAGACUGGGUACCUGAGGUGAGACGUCAGUCAGCGGUUCAACCGGCAGCAUGAAUCUGGAGCGAGUGAGCAACGAAGAUAAACUGAACCUGUGUCGCAAAUACUAUCUGGGUUUAGUCUGUGGGUGCGUCUUAAUUGGAUCAAAGCCAGCUCGUCUGGGUACUUUGAAAGGUGGAUUUGCACUGUUGCCGUUCCUGUGGCUGGUGAACGUGGUUUGGUUCUUCAGAGAAGCUUUCAUGAAACCUCAGUUCAACGAACAGGCUCAGAUCAAGAAAUAUGUGAAGUGGUCAGGAGUGGGUCUCCUGAUGUGGAUCACUGCCCUCACCACAUGGAUCAGCAUUUACCAGACAUUUCGACCAGACUGGGGAGCUGUCGGUGAUUAUAUCUCCUUCACCAUUCCCUUGGGAAUUCCCUGAGGAGUCACUUGCAGUUCAGGUGGACGUUCUGGGAGCAGUCAGCUGACUGGGAUUGUAUUCACAUCAUAUCGCCCGCUCACAGCCCUGGGACAUCCUCCUUCACCAUGAUUUAAUACAGGCACCUUCACCAUGAUUUAAUACAGUGGUUCUAGUUUCUGUAACGAGGAGUAACUGGGAUCUGAAGGAGUUUGUUGCUGAGCUUUCUACGAGAGGUUCCUGCGUGAAGUUUAAGUCACUGUUUGCAAUUGUGUCCUGAAUAAAUUGGUCAUUAUUUACA